rnacentral:rRNA from 1 species
GAAUGCUGACAUAAGUAACGAUAAUGCGGGUGAAAAACCCGCACGCCGGAAGACCAAGGGUUCCUGUCCAACGUUAAUCGGGGCAGGGUGAGUCGACCCCUAAGGCGAGGCUGAAAAGCGUAGUCGAUGGGAAACAGGUUAAUAUUCCUGUACUUGGUGUUACUGCGAAGGGGGGACGGAGAAGGCUAGGCUAGCCGGGCGACGGUUGUCCCGGUUUAAGCAUGUAGGCGGAGUGACCAGGUAAAUCCGGUUGCUUAUCAACGCUGAGGUGUGAUGACGAUGCACUACGGUGCAGAAGUAGUUGAUGCCAUGCUUCCAGG